rnacentral:rRNA from 1 species
UACGAAGGGGGCGAGCGUUGUUCGGAUUUACUGGGCGUAAAGGGCGCGCAGGCGGUUCUGUUUGUCGAGUGUGAAAGCCCCGGGCUCAACCUGGGAACUGCGCUCGAAACGGCGGAACUAGAGUUCGGGAGAGGAGAGUGGAAUUCCCAGUGUAGAGGUGAAAUUCGUAGAUAUCGGGAGGAACACCAGAGGCGAAGGCGGCCGACUGGGCUGUACCUGACGCUGAGGCGCGAAAGCGUGGGGAGCGAACCGG